GGGCCCUUAGUUUUAAUUGGUAGAACGCCGCAUUUGCACUGCGGAGGUUGGGAGUUCGAGUCUCCCAGGGUCCA
rnacentral:tRNA from 1 species